CAUGCAAGUCGAACGAGAAUCUACUGAAAGAGUCUUCGGACAAUGGAAGUAGAGGAAAGUGGCGGACGGGUGAGUAACGCGUGAGGAACCUGCCUUGAAGAGGGGGACAACAGUUGGAAACGACUGCUAAUACCGCAUGAAGCAUAGGGGUCGCAUGAUCUUUAUGCCAAAGAUUUAUCGCUUCAAGAUGGCCUCACGUCUGAUUAGCUGGUUGGCGGGGUAACGGCCCACCAAGGCGACGAUCAGUAGCCGGACUGAGAGGUUGAACGGCCACAUUGGGACUGAGAUACGGCCCAGACUCCUACGGGAGGCAGCAGUGGGGAAUAUUGGGCAAUGGGCGCAAGCCUGACCCAGCAACGCCGCGUGAAGGAAGAAGGCUUUCGGGUUGUAAACUUCUUUUAAGAGGGAAGAGCAGAAGACGGUACCUCUAGAAUAAGCCACGGCUAACUACGUGCCAGCAGCCGCGGUAAUACGUAGGUGGCAAGCGUUGUCCGGAUUUACUGGGUGUAAAGGGCGUGCAGCCGGGUCUGCAAGUCAGAUGUGAAAUCCAUGGGCUCAACCCAUGAACUGCAUUUGAAACUGUAGAUCUUGAGUGUCGGAGGGGCAAUCGGAAUUCCUAGUGUAGCGGUGAAAUGCGUAGAUAUUAGGAGGAACACCAGUGGCGAAGGCGGAUUGCUGGACGAUAACUGACGGUGAGGCGCGAAAGUGUGGGGAGCAAACAGGAUUAGAUACCCUGGUAGUCCACACUGUAAACGAUGAAUACUAGGUGUGCGGGGACUGACCCCCUGCGUGCCGCAGUAAACACAAUAAGUAUUCCACCUGGGGAGUACGAUCGCAAGGUUGAAACUCAAAGGAAUUGACGGGGGCCCGCA
rnacentral:rRNA from 1 species